ensembl:ncRNA C29A12.15 ncRNA
UUCUACCCAUCAUAACGUCAUCAGGACAUUUAUGUAAUCAUGUUCACUCCGCUUCCCCUCUUUUAACUUCUUGCACACACAAAUAGACAUGAUGAAAGAAGGAAGAGACUCACUAACAACAUUCGAUAUACCAAAUUGAUGAAGCAUG